rnacentral:rRNA from 1 species
UACGUAGGGGGGCUAGCGUUGUCCGGAAUCAUUGGGCGUAAAGAGCGUGUAGGCGGCGCGGUAAGUCGGGUGUGAAAUCUCGGAGCUUAACUCCGAAACUGCAUUCGAUACUGCCGUGCUUAAGGACUGGAGAGGAGACUGGAAUUUACGGUGUAGCGGUGAAAUGCGUAGAUAUCGUAAGGAAGACCAGUGGCGAAGGCGGGUCUCUGGACAGUUCCUGACGCUGAGGCACGAAGGUCAGGGGAGCAAACGGG